CACACAAGCGCCUAUCUCUA
rnacentral:siRNA from 1 species